GGGGAGAUAGCUCAGUGGUAGAGCUCAUGCUUAACAUGCACAAGGUCCUGGGUUCAAUCCCCAGUACCUCCA
rnacentral:tRNA from 1 species